CAAAGUGGAGAUAUUGCUGAAAAUUAUGACAAGCACCAAGAGUUAACCACCAAAACACAGGAUUCUGAAGAUAUUUUUAUCAAGCAAUCUAUCUCUAUUAUUACAGAGGAAUCUAAACAACCAUGUCAACAUAGUCAAAGUCAUUUGUCACCCACUGGCCACUAUACUGGGCUAUUGUUACAGUUUGACUUUGCAUCAAAU